GGGUUGUGAGGUUAAGCGACUAAGCGUACACGGUGGAUGCCCUGGCAGUCAGAGGCGAUGAAGGGCGUGCUAAUCUGCGAUAAGCGCCGGUAAGGUGAUAUGAACCGUUAUAACCGGCGAUACCCGAAUGGGGAAACCCAGUGUGAUUCGUCACACUAUCAUUAACUGAAUCCAUAGGUUAAUGAGGCGAACCGGGGGAACUGAAACAUCUAAGUACCCCGAGGAAAAGAAAUCAACCGAGAUUCCCCCAGUAGCGGCGAGCGAACGGGGAGGAGCCCAGAGCCUGAAUCAGCAUGUGUGUUAGUGGAAGCGUCUGGAAAGGCGCGCGAUACAGGGUGACAGCCCCGUACACAAAAGCGUAUGUGCUGUGAGCUCGAUGAGUAGGGCGGGACACGUGGUAUCCUGUCUGAAUAUGGGGGGACCAUCCUCCAAGGCUAAAUACUCCUGACUGACCGAUAGUGAACCAGUACCGUGAGGGAAAGGCGAAAAGAACCCCGGCGAGGGGAGUGAAAAAGAACCUGAAACCGUGUACGUACAAGCAGUGGGAGCACCCUUUGGGGUGUGACUGCGUACCUUUUGUAUAAUGGGUCAGCGACUUAUAUUCUGUAGCAAGGUUAACCGAAUAGGGGAGCCGGAGGGAAACCGAGUCUUAAUUGGGCGUUAAGUUGCAGGGUAUAGACCCGAAACCCGGUGAUCUAGCCAUGGGCAGGUUGAAGGUUGGGUAACACUAACUGGAGGACCGAACCGACUAAUGUUGAAAAAUUAGCGGAUGAC
rnacentral:rRNA from 1 species